rnacentral:rRNA from 1 species
UACGAGGGACCCAAACGUUAUUCGGAAUUACUGGGCUUACAGAGUUCGUAGGCGGCUCGGAAAGUUGGGUGUGAAAUCCCUCGGCUCAACCGAGGAAUUGCGCUCAAAACUGCCGAGCUAGAGGGGUAUAGAGGAAAGCGGAACUGAUGGUGGAGCGGUGAAAUGCGUUGAUAUCAUCAGGAACACCGGUGGCGAAGGCGGCUUUCUGGGUACCACCUGACGCUGAGGAACGAAAGCUAGGGGAGCGAACGGG